UCUCCCCAACUCCCCCACCCACAGUAGGGAAGACUGUUGUUUAUCCUAUCUGCCUUCUCCUUUAUACAGUGGGGUGUUGUUACAGAACCUUUUGCUUCAGACCUAUAAGAUCUCCCAUCCAGUAAACCACUGAUGUCUCUGUCACUGUCUCCCAUGUCUUUCUUUGGUCUCGAAAUUGGGCAGUCACAAAGCUUGCAUGCCUGCGGGGUGUAGCCCAGCACCAAUAUAUUUGAUAAAACAGGAAAACAAUGUUAAUAUAGUUGAGUGAUUUUGUUCCCCAUCAUUUUCAUUUCCACUAAUUCCUUUCUGUUCUCUGUCCCUCCAAAUGAGAAAUUUGGAAGAAAAACAAUCAGCUAGGGACUGUUUCCUCUCAUCUACUUCCCAAAUUCCAAAGUUAAUUAAAUUUUUUAAAAGAUACUAAGGAAAAGCUCAGAAGAGGAAGAGAGAACGGAGAGAAAAAGAAGUUAAACCUUGAAAACCGAUACUCUUUCUGGAUCUGACACAAGAACGAUCAGAAGAAACACGUGAAGAACAGGACUGAGACCACCCCAGAGUCUGCUGUAGAAGAGAACAGCAUUCUCAUAAAGAGAUUUCAUUUGGUUAGAUAAUGUAAUGAUUUUUAGGAAAACUGGCUUGUGCCUUGUGGACUGCUUUGUCAUUUAUUGUCCUGGAACUAGCUUAACUUCAAAAACGUGUUAAAUCAGUGUACCUGCUACCAACAGUUCCCACAGAACAUCUAUGGCUGAUGUGUCUUCACCUAUAACUUUUUAUUGUGUCUUACUGUGUCUUACUCUAUAACUAAAAAACAAAAAAAAUGUAUUUACCAUUGACUAAUCAUACCAAAGUCUGAUCCUGGGACUUAUUAGAUGCCCUAAUCACUCCAUUCUGUAUUUCCAUGGUUUAAACCUCACAAAAAUGGUUAUAUUAUGGAAUUUCAAUAAGCUAAAUUCAUGUCACACUUGUGUUCCAGAGAAAGCAACAGGUGUAAGAACUCUCAGACUGCAUACGCUAUCAGUAAGAUGCAGGUCUCAGAGUCAUAAAGGCCUGACAACACAUAGGCCUUGGAGUGUGAACUGUAAUUUGAUGACAUGUUACUGCCAUCCUCUACCUGUUCAUUUUCUAGCUGAUGCUCUGACUUAACAAUACCUGUUACAUCCUGGUCCAAGUUUGCAUCACUGGGAACUCACUACCAAGGAAACCCAACCUUGUUGAAACCCUCAGUUCUUCACCAUUAAUGGCAGAUUCAGAUUGCCUGUGGGAUUGCAGCUGAUGUGUAACCUCUGCCUCACUCUAGCAUAUUAUUAGUCCAUAGCCCUGAGUGCAGAAAUAAUUGACAACCUGCUCCAUCUCCUUCCGUAUAAACCUGCAGGGCAUAGUCAUCCACAUUAAACAACUGCUAGGUGACUGCUUCAAAUAUUGCAGUUUUCUACUGAAUCCUGCUCAAGGGCAAGAAGUUUCUGGAGGAGGAAAAGGAAAUCUUUA